rnacentral:rRNA from 1 species
UACGUAGGGUGCGAGCGUGUCCGGAAUUAUUGGGCGUAAAGGGCUCGUAGGCGGUUUGUCGCGUCGGGAGUGAAAACCUACAGCUUAACUGUGGGCUUGCUUUCGAUACGGGCAGACUAGAGGUAUGCAGGGGAGAACGGAAUUCCUGGUGUAGCGGUGAAAUGCGCAGAUAUCAGGAGGAACACCGGUGGCGAAGGCGGUUCUCUGGGCAUGAUCUGACGCUGAGGAGCGAAAGUGUGGGGAGCGAACAGG